CAGCAGCCGCGGGAAUACGUAGGGUGCGAGCGUUAAUCGGAAUUACUGGGCGUAAAGCGUGCGCAGGCGGUUUUGUAAGACAGGCGUGAAAUCCCCGGGCUCAACCUGGGAAUGGCGCUUGUGACUGCAAAGCUAGAGUGCGGCAGAGGGGGAUGGAGUUCCGCGUGUAGCAGUGAAAUGCGUAGAUAUGCGGAGGAACACCGAUGGCGAAGGCAAUCCCCUGGGCCUGCACUGACGCUCAUGCACGAAAGCGUGGGGAGCAAACAGGAUUAGAUACCCCCGUAGUCCCUGUCUCUUAUAA
rnacentral:rRNA from 1 species